AACGAACGCUGGCGGCAUGCCUAACACAUGCAAGUCGAACGAGACCUUCGGGUCUAGUGGCGCACGGGUGCGUAACGCGUGGGAAUCUGCCCUUGGGUUCGGAAUAACAGUUAGAAAUGACUGCUAAUACCGGAUGAUGUCUUCGGACCAAAGAUUUAUCGCCCAGGGAUGAGCCCGCGUAGGAUUAGCUAGUUGGUGGGGUAAAGGCCUACCAAGGCGACGAUCCUUAGCUGGUCUGAGAGGAUGAUCAGCCACACUGGGACUGAGACACGGCCCAGACUCCUACGGGAGGCAGCAGUGGGGGAAUAUUGGACAAUGGGCGAAAGCCUGAUCCAGCAAUGCCGCGUGAGUGAUGAAGGCCUUAGGGUUGUAAAGCUCUUUUACCCGGGAUGAUAAUGACAGUACCGGGAGAAUAAGCCCCGGCUAACUCCGUGCCAGCAGCCGCGGUAAU
rnacentral:rRNA from 1 species